GGAAAAGUGGGGGAGGGGGUAGAGGAAACCGAGAGUGAGGGUACUGGAGUCGGGGGAGACACUCCGGAGUCCCAGGAGACAUGCAGCCAGGAGCUCUUCUCAAGCCAGGAGGAAGGUAGCCAGUUGCAGCAGCCGGUACUUGGUGAAGGAC